UCACAAACCCUCAAUCUCUCAUACAACUCAUAUGACUUACCACACAUUGGUAGCUCAUAUUUAUAUACAAAAAAAAAACCUUAGACCUAAUCCUAACUCAAUUAGGAUCUACAAAGAUAUUAUCUUAGUUUUAGAUAUCUCCUAAAACCAUUAAAACUUUUAACCUCAAGUUAACUCAUAACUCAAGUUAACUUCUAACCAUAAGCUUCUAACUCUCAACAGCUUGGUGAUUCUCUUCCAACUUGUUGUUGGUGUUCAUCACUUGUAAAGCAUAAUUCUUCCACCAAUACGAGUACCUUGACUUGAUCAUCCUCUAUCUUGUUCGAGAAGUCAGUCUUGGUGUCGAGCUUUGGAUAUUCCGUUAAGUAGUUUCUCGACGAAAGCAUUGAACUUGUUAUGUAGGAAUCGAGUCUUUGACCAGGUCAUUGGUAUGUUUGGUACAAACGGUACGUUGGCUGGUUCAUGAGCUGGUUGUUUAGUGGCUGGAGCUAGUUUGAUGUCCUCAUCAAUAAUGAAAUUUCAUAAUAAGAUAAUUAUUUGUAUAUAUU
rnacentral:lncRNA from 1 species